rnacentral:lncRNA from 1 species
AUGCUAGGGACCGUUAAUGCGACUUUUAGCCUAAAGGCCAAGGAUACAUUAGCGAAGGGCAAACACGGCACAAUGAUCAUUUAUCAUCUGGAGCCGGAGAGGGCGCUGGGAACCCUGUCCUGGCCUCAGGACUCAAGUGCCCACAGGGAGCCAGGCGCCCCGUCAGCCCUGGAGCGUGGCUGUGUCCAGAAUCAGAGGAAGAGGGACAGGGUCUCCUGGACGGUGGCCCAGGGCUCCCACUCGUGGCCAGGGGACCAGCAGGGACAUGUCUUCUCUUGGGGUGAGUGGGAGCCCCAGGGUCAUUUUCCCAAAGAGCCCACGACCCCCUCGCGGGACAGAGGCUGCUCCCUAAAGCAGGGCCUGGGGAAGUGGUGUGCCCACGGCCCUGGGUCCACACGGCCUGUGGGCACCAGGCAGCUGCAGGGCAGGCGGACUCCGGUCGGGAGGGCGGCUGUGGGACAUCCGAUAGGACAGGAUGCUGAGCCGCAGAGGGUCCAAGAGCAGGCUCCACUCAUCCAAUGGCCAGCAUCACAGUUCAGCGGCAUGUGGCUUUGCCUGUUCUCUGUGGUCAGGGGAUCCAAUGGCCUGGCUGUGUCCUCAGCCUCGAGGCCUGUCCUGGGGUGGGGGAGGGGUGCUGCGGGUGCCCCCAGCCCAUGUCCCAGGCCUCUGCCUCCUCCUCCCUCACGGCAGCGGCCUUUCCAGAGGGAGGGAGAGAGCGGGGUCAGAGGGGUGACCACCUGAUCGCUGAGGAAGAGCCAUCUGUCCCCACACUUUCCCCUCAGAACCCACCCCUGCGCCCUUGCCGCAUGCUCGGGGAGGCGCUACACAAGGGUGCUAACACUGAGACGUCACACCCUAAGGGAGAGGCCCACCUGACCCCGGAGCUUGGGGUGUGGCCUCUUCCUCUCACCCCACCGGCCACUGCUGUGUCCUGUGCACCCUACCGUCCACACAGCCUUUCUGAGAGUCAAGACUCUUAAAGCCUUUAUCCUCGUGACCCUCCAGGAAAUUACUCAGUUGAAGAAACCAGGAAAAAUGCAAGGGAGUUCCCACUGUGGGAAGCAGGUUAAGGACCCAUCAUAGUCUCCAUGAGGACCCGGGUUUGAUCCCUGGCCUCACUCAGUGGGUUAAGGAUCCGGCGUUUCCUCAAGCCGCAGCGGAGGUCGCAGAUGCAGCUCGGAUCCAGGGUUGCCGUGGCUGUGGCGUAGGCCCCAGCUGCAACUCUGAUUCGACCCCCAGCCCUGGAACCUCCAUAUGCCGCAGGUGAAGCCCUAAGAAGAAGAAAAAAAAGAUGGAGUUCCCGUUGUGGCUCAGCAGUUAAUGAACCUGACGAGCAUGGUUCCAUGCCAGGCAUCGCUCAGUGGGUUAAGGAUCCAGCACUGCUGUGAGAUGUGAUGUAGGUUGCAGACGCCGCUCAGAUCUGGUGUGGCUGUGGCUGUGGUGUAGGCUAGUGGCUAGAGCUCCAACUCAACCCUGAGCCGGGGAACCUCUNUCCCAAAAUGAUGAUGGAGAAACUAAUUACAGAAAAUGUUUAAGAAACGGAAAAUGAGGUGUGUGCAUAGAUAUUUCCCCUUUAGUCCACUCUGCUGAGAGAAGCCAGCGCCUCUGGCUGUUGUGGGUGACAAGACGCCUCCCUCCCUCCACGUCCUGGCCGUCACCCAACCAGGGGCUUGAUGGCCAGAAGCCAUCGCCCACCUGCUCAUUUUAUGGCUCGUUAAGCAAGCACAGCGGCUGCCCAUUCCUGCUUUCAGCAUCAGGGAGGGUUGAAUGUGUGUGCCGCUAAUGGUGCUGGACUUGGCCAAGGUCAGAGCCAACGUUAACGGAACGCUUAUCGGUAGAGUCAGGGGCCCGUUUCCUCCUGCAAUCCUGUGGGUGUGACUAAAAGCCAGGCUGGAACCCACAGAAUGAGGAAAUUGCACAACUGCCUAACACACUGAAGGGAGUGGCCAGAACCUCGGAGGGGACAGACACACCUGUGACCCGGGCAUUAGGACAGAGGCAGCCCUGACUUCAGGAGUCUGUUGGGUUUUUUUUAGCUUUUUGUCUUUUCUAGGGCCGCUCCCAUGGCAUAUGGAGGUUCCCGGGCUAGGGGUCGAAUCGGAGCUGUAGCCGCCAGCCUACACCAGAGCUACAGCAACGCAGGAUCCGAGCCGCAUCUGUGACAUACACCACAGCUCACGGCAACGCCGGAUCCUUAACCCACUGAGCAAGGCCAGGGAGCGAACCCGCAACCUUGUGGUUCCUAGUCAGAUUCGUUAACCACUGCGCCACGACGGGAACUCCCAGGAGUCUUUUUUUCAGCAAAGGCCACAUUUUCAAAAUUCACAGGGGCCUUCCUGUCGUGGCUCAGUGGUAAUGAACCUGACUAGGAUCCAUGAGGACACUGGGCUCUGCCUUUUGUCCCUUGUGCAUUUACUCAGGGGCCUUGACAGCCCCGCCUGGACCGCGAGGGGCUUCAGGACAGACCCGCUUGCACUCAAGAAGGAGUUCUGUUCAGACUUUAGAAUUUCGCUGAAAGGGAACAGCUCUGAUGAUCGAACGUGGCCAUUAAAAUUCAUAUUUCAUAGGCUGUUCCUAAAGGAAAGGGAAGCAGACAAGGGGUGGACAAGAAGGGCAGGAGGCCCUCCAGGGGCCCCGGUGGAAUCACAGUCCUCAGUUUAGGGAAAUUGAAGACAAUGUGGGCCAGGCGGGCAGCUGUGCUCGUGAGGGGUGGCCCCCGCCAGCCCGCCAGCCCCACGCUCCCCCACGUGGCCACGGCGUGGCCAGGGCCUGCCUGUCGCCCUCUAAUUUUCCUGCCCGGCCUCGGAUCCCACGCCUUCCUGAAACACUCUCCCAUCUGGCUCCCGUUCACCGCAUUUUCCUGUUUUUGUUUGUUUACCAGGCUUCGCUGGCUUCCCUCUUGGGCGUCACUGUCUGGGGUCUGUCCUGGCAUCGCUCUCCCCCAGGUCCGAGCGCCAACCCCUGACCCCAAGCCCCAGCCCGAGCCUCUUGUCGGACUCCAGGUCCCUGCAUCCCAUGGCCUGCACCGCCUUCCCCGUGGGUGGUGGCCACCCCCAACCCUUACCCCGCAGCCUCCCUCUGCAGCAGGUGGCCGGCCCGAGUUGUGUCCAGCCCUCUGUCUACCUCACGUCUAUCUUGGACCCCUUCUCUCUGCUCUCACCUUCCACCUGGUCUGAGCGGCUGCCUCUCCCAGGGUCACGGCUGAGGUUGCUCCCACUCCCUCCUUCCCACCCCUCCACCCCAGGGAGCAGGCACCAUGUCCCCUCGGGGGGCUUCCACUUUUCAUCCCCAGAAAGCAAAAGAAAGCAAGAAAUACCCGUGACAGAGGCUGUUAGUCGAAGCCCAUGUCUAGGAGGAAGCCCUGCUCACACUCAUACACGCACGCCCCGCGGGUGACCGCUCAGCCCCGCGGGCUGGCCCCCCGGCAGGCCCCAGUUCCAGGUUGUCAUCUGUGCUUCUGACCGACCUGCAAUAACACUGGGGUCCCCUGACCCCUUCUUUGAGCUCAAGAAUCGGCUCGAGAGAGUUCCCUGGUGACCUAGUGCUGAGGAUUCAGCCCUGUCACCACUGCGGCCUAAAUUCAAUCCCUGGUCUGGGAACUGAAAUCCCACAUCCAGCUGCUAUGUGCUGCAACCAAAAAAAAAAAAACAAAACCAAAAACAAACCAAAACCCAAAUGGACAGAGAAAAGAAUAUGCUAGAGGGGUUUCUGUUGUGGUGCAGCAGUAAUGAACCUGACUAGUAUCCACGAAGAUGCAGGUUUGACCUCUGGCCUCGGUCAGUGGGUUUGUAGGAGAAAAUGUCCCCAUAAAAAGGUGGAAAGGAGAGACCCAGGCCAUGACGACUAAGCAAAGUCUAGCCAACUGCCCCAACCACCCCCACCCCCCACAUCUGCUUCUGCAAACUUGUUUCUGCAUCUAUUACUUUGCCAGUUCUCACUCUGGUCCUCCAAGCACGGACCUGGAAGAACGAGCCCAUAAAAGCCUUGCGAAACCCCUCUUCGGGGCUCUCCUCUGAGCCCGCCGGCGUAAUAAACCUGAGUUCUCCAACUCUCCGAGUGCUCGC